AACGUCCCCUUUUCAGAUUUACCAGUUUCUUCAGCUUUGAAGGGGAACUAUACCCUGAAAGUGGGCUUCUGGGGGACUGAUGCGCUGCUGAUUUUAUUGUCUUCUUCCAUUUCCUUAUUUUUCUUUUUUAAGUUUAGAGAAAGCAAGUUCUUAGGUACAACAAAGUUCUCCAAAGGCUAAGUACAGCUAUUCUGAGGCACCCGGGCGUCGUAGGUGUCCGCCCACAGGUUCUCCUUUCUGCGGCUGGAGAGCUCUGGGUGGGACGCAAGGGAGCUGGAGGCGCGCGCACAGCCUGCCGGGAGGCGUGCGGGGCGGCCUUAGCUGCGCGCGCAUCGCUGGUUGCUGGCCUCCGGGGUUCUGGUUAGCGCUUUUGGCCGGACUGCCAUAUCUGUGGGUGGCAAUGUUUUGGCUUGACCGCCCUCGUCGUGGGCGGCGUGAGGCAGGGAAAGGAUCUACUUAGAUAUGCUACUCCCAUUACACAGAGCCUUUCCUAGGCUCAGCUAGGCCUGAGAGCGAGCGAGCGAGCUCUGCAGAAUACAGUUGAUACUUGGUGCCUGGAGAGAUCAGAAGAGGGUAUCAUAUCUACUGAGACUGGAAUCAGGGAAGAUUGUGAGCCACCAUGUGGGUGCUACGACUCAAACCUGACUCCUCUGCAAGAGCCACGAGUGCUCUAAACCAUGGAGCCCUCUUCAUCCCCAACUUAGGUGAUUUUUAACAACAAAAGGUGGAAACAAAACAAAAAUGUUUCUCUUAAAAGGUACCAUGAAGCAUUAUGCUGAGACAGGAUCUUCACUAACAAAUGCAGGGAAGAAAGAUAGAACGGAAACUGAAGGAAAGGCCAUCCAGAGACUGCACCACCUUGGGAUCUGUCCUAUCUGCAGACACCAAAUCCUGACACUAUUGCUGAUGCUAAGAAGUGCUUGCUGAAAGGAACCUGCUAUAGCUGUCCUCUGCCAGCACCUGACUAAUACAGAUGGAGAUAUUAACUAGAUUUUUGGAUGACAGCAUUCUUCAGAAUUUCCAAUUUUUGAGCGUACACUUUGAAUAUGUAGUGUAUUUGGAACUCUAAGGAAAUGUGAAUCUGCCCAUGGGAAGCACCAGGCAGAGGAAUGUCAGCAGAAGACAAGAGUGAGAGCCCCUCUUCCUAAUCCUGAAAGCUUUGGAUCAAUAGCUUCCUAUAGCCCUGAGAGAGGAAUCUGCAUAAGCAUUAAGAAUAACAAGGAUGCUCACAGCCAACCACUGGACUGAGCACUGAGACACGAGAGAAAGGACUGAAGGAGCUGAAGGGUUUGCAACCCCAGGGGAAGAACAACAUCAACCAACCAACCAGAGCUCCCAGGGACUAAGCCACCAACCAAAGAGUACACAUGGAGUGACCCAGGAACAUCUUUUUGUAAGAUUUGGAAUAGCUACUUCUGAUAGAUUCAGCGGAAGCAGGAUAGCAUUUGAAGACCCAGAGAACACAAUCGCAAAUGUGGCCCCUAUGCCUCACUAAAGAAACUUCUCAUUGCAACAGCUAAUCAUGGGUGCUCAGUCCCGGUGGACACAUCUCCAACAUAGCUACAGCCCAGUGAACAUUGCAGAAGAUGAGGAUUACAUGAGUCUGGAGAUCAGGGAAUCUGUUAUCGGUUUGUGACUCCUGGAAAUGACAGGAAAGCUACGUCUGUGAUACCUCAAUAGGAUGGCUGCCUAAAUAAGACCUGAGCAAUGACAGUACCAAUAAACACGCUAAUGUAGAAAUCUCAUGGGGCCUCAUCCUUCUACUAAAGAUAACAGACAACUAAGGAAUGCUGAGAGCCAGAGAGGUGGUCUUUCCCAGGGAGGGGCUUCUGGGUAACUGUCCAAUGUCAAGUGGUUGGCCCUAAAUUUAUGUACAUGCAAGCAACGUUGAAUGGACUCAGCAGGUUGUAUUUAUGUAUUUAUACAGUAUAUCACAAUCAAAGGAGAGAAAGCCAGGAAUUUAAAGGAAGUGGGAACGUGCAUGUGUAGGUGACAUGGGAAGAGUUGGAGUAAGCAAAGGGAAUACAGGGAAAUUAUGUGAUUAUAUUUUAAUAAGAAAAAAUAAUAAGAAAGUCACUCCGGGAACAG
rnacentral:lncRNA from 1 species